GAUGAACGCUGGCGGCGUGCCUAAUACAUGCAAGUCGAGCGAACAGAUGAGGAGCUUGCUCCUCUGACGUUAGCGGCGGACGGGUGAGUAACACGUGGAUAACCUACCUAUAAGACUGGGAUAACUUCGGGAAACCGGAGCUAAUACCGGAUAAUAUAUUGAACCGCAUGGUUCGAUAGUGAAAGACGGUUUUGCUGUCACUUAUAGAUGGAUCCGCGCCGCAUUAGCUAGUUGGUAAGGUAACGGCUUACCAAGGCAACGAUGCGUAGCCGACCUGAGAGGGUGAUCGGCCACACUGGAACUGAGACACGGUCCAGACUCCUACGGGAGGCAGCAGUAGGGACUCUUCCGCAAUGGGCGGAAGCCUGACGGAGCAACGCCGCGUGAGUGAUGAAGGUCUUCGGAUCGUAAAACUCUGUUAUUAGGGAAGAACAAAUGUGUAAGUAACUAUGCACGUCUUGACGGUACCUAAUCAGAAAGCAACGGCUAACUACGUG
rnacentral:rRNA from 1 species